AAAAUGUUAAAAAUAUUACAAAUAAUAUAUGUAUAUAUAUGUAUGUAUGUAUUUUU
rnacentral:misc_RNA from 1 species